AUGGAGCCAUCAGGCUGUCCGUCGGUGCGUGGAGCCAUCAGGCUGCACGAGGAGCCAUCAGGUUGCCCAUUAAUUGCUGCAUCUAGAGGAGCAGAGGCGCUCCACGGCUGCCACACGAGGAGCGUCACGGAAGCGUCCGCGGUGGCCGAGCAUGGAGGAGCACCGGUGCGUCUACAUCGUCCUCGCCGUUUCCUGCUCCGUCGCCGCACAUGGAAGAGCACGCGUCAUCAGUCCUUCGUUGGCCAUCAGUCUUCUCCUCCCUCUCGGUACAGAUCAUUUUUUAGCAUUUGUUUGUUGCUGCUAUGCUUAUGCAUUUUGCUGCUCUAG
rnacentral:rRNA from 1 species